rnacentral:rRNA from 1 species
GAGUAACGCGUGAGGAACCUGCCUCAAAGAGGGGGACAACAGUUGGAAACGACUGCUAAUACCGCAUAAGCCCACGGCUCGGCAUCGAGCAGAGGGAAAAGGAGCAAUCCGCUUUGAGAUGGCCUCGCGUCCGAUUAGCUAGUUGGUGAGGUAACGGCCCACCAAGGCGACGAUCGGUAGCCGGACUGAGAGGUUGAACGGCCACAUUGGGACUGAGACACGGCCCAGACUCCUACGGGAGGCAGCAGUGGGGAAUAUUGCACAACGGGGGAAACCCUGAUGCAGCGACGCCGCGUGGAGGAAGAAGGUCUUCGGAUUGUAAACUCCUGUUGUUGAGGAAGA